rnacentral:pre_miRNA from 1 species
AAUAAGAUCAUGUUUUAGUUUUUAGAUAUAAUACUCUAACUAUUCGUCUUAUUUAAAUUUUUUUGCGAUUAAUAUUUUUAUUGUUACUAGAUGAUAAAAUAUGAAUAAUACUUUAUACGUGACUAAUUUUUUUAAAGUUUUGUGCAUAAUUUUCAUAUAAGACGAUGGUCAAACUUUGAACACAGAAGUCAACAAAUAAAGUUAUU